rnacentral:misc_RNA from 1 species
AAAAAAAAAAAAAAAAAAUUCAACUAAUUUCAGUGUUACAAUUAAAUAACAGAAAAUGAGAUGUUCUUAAAAAAGUUUUCCUUGCAUUAUUUUCCAUGGAUGAGGUAUUGUCUCCAAAACAAAUUGAGAUUCUUUUUCUUUUGGUAUUGAUGCUUGUUAUGGAAAUUCAAGCAUUUGAAUGUGAAUUUCCAUAACAAUGCUCUUUGGAUGAUUACCAUAUGUUUAGCUUCUUGUGUAAACAGUAAGAAAUCGGUCCUUCCUUUCAACUUAUAUAUUGUUUGAAGCUGUAUGUAGAUUAUCACUUUCAGAAGAUCCUGC